CCUACGGGUGGCAGCAGUGAGGAAUAUUGGUCAAUGGCCGGAAGGCUGAACCAGCCAUGCCGCGUGAAGGUCAGUGCCCUAUGGGCGUUAAACUUCUUUUGUGCGGGACCAAUAAUGGUCACGUGUGGCCAGACGAGAGUACCGUACGAAUAAGCAUCGGCUAACUCCGUGCCAGCAGCCGCGGUAAUACGGGGGAUGCAGGCGUUAUCCGGAUUUAUUGGGUUUAAAGGGUGCGUAGGCUGUGAGGUAAGUCAGCGGGGAAAUGCCCCCGCUCAACGGGGUGACGUGCCAUUGAUACUGCCUUGCUGGAAUGCGGAUGCCGUGGGAGGAAUGUGUGGUGUAGCGGUGAAAUGCAUAGAUAUCACACAGAACACCGAUUGCGAAGGCAUCUCACGAAUCCGCGAUUGACGCUGAUGCACGAAAGCGUGGGUAUCAAACAGGAUUAGAUACCCUUGUAGUC
rnacentral:rRNA from 1 species